UGGGCUGUCUGAGACUCAGCUCCUAAAUUAAAAACCACCCAUUAGAGUCUGGAUUUUAGGGAGCUGAUGAGUUAAAUGAAUCACCUGCUGAAGACACCGCAUUCUCCUGAUUUCCUGCAGCUGGCUCCUGGAUAAAAUGUGCAGAUGGGAAGAGCUGGGAGCAAAUAGUGUUAAGGAAGCUGACUGUGGAAAUUGGAGGCUGUCCAGCAGAACCUGGGUGUGUGGCUGUGACACCAAGGCUGGAAAAAGUGGACAGUGAAUGUUAGAGUUGGGUGAGCUUUCACAGGAUGAAAGUAGCAGGGAAAGAGUCAAAUGAAGAGAAAUGGGGAUGUGAGAUGAAAUCUGAGGCCUUUCUGACAUCCAGCCAUGCUCUUUGUGUGUGUGUAACCUGGCGCCUGGUCAUUUUGCAGGUGGACACACUGUUCCAGGCUCUGGAGACAAGAGUGAGCACUGUGGAGUCGCGUGUGGCUGCUCUGCAAAGACUAUGUGCUGGAAGGCUGAGGUGAGACCAGGAUCCGUAAAAUCCCUGACGCCCUGUGCCUUCCUGAGGCUGAAGCCACAUUUGCUGUUCCACAGAGUGGAAGAUGCUGAAGACUGAAAACUUUGGGUUUUCCUCCCGAAUCCCAAGAUUCUCUCUGCAGCUGUACCCUGUUUAUAUCUUAAAGAGUUUCUGGGCUUAUAAAGUUUUUUACAUUUUGCAAUAUUUAUCUACAACUCAAUUAAAAAGAGUCAUACUGUAUCAAUGUGGUGUUAAUUUGUUUAAGUUGGUUAAUUAAAGCAAAUUGUUGAUAAGGGGUUUGAGCAUCCCUUAGUUGGAGCUGGCAGCUCUUACUUAAUUUCUCUUCAUUCCUUUAAUUUCUUUCAAUUAUUUCUUAAGCAAUUACUUCAAUUAGGAUAUACAGUAAGGACAGCAGCAUUUCUGCCCUGCUGGAUUGGGAAAUCCAAGCCCAGUUUCUUGGAGAGGCUGAGGGGAUGGGUUUUGACAGUGGGAAUUUGGUGAGGAAGAAAGAGGAGAGGUCCCAAAAAAAGUGGCUAAGGCCAGUUCUGCUGGCUUUGGGUGCUCCUACCCCAAAAAAUCAUCCUGGUUAAGGGGAACUUGAGGAAGCAAGGGGCCCUGUGCCAGGGGUCCUGUGCUGAUUCCACCCAGAGAUGCUGGGCACUGCCAGACUUUUGGGUCAUGGUUACUGAGAGGCUCC
rnacentral:lncRNA from 1 species